rnacentral:lncRNA from 1 species
GUGAGGGAUAGAGGGGGGGUGUAGAAGCCGGUCUGGACGCUGCCGACAUCUAUCGGUUAUGCUUGCAAGCUGGCGCGAGAGGAGGUACCUCGCUGUUCGGCGCUUGCAUGCAAACGCCAUCGGGGGGAUAAUGCCAACGAUGACCAACAUAAGUGACAAUAUAAAUAAUAAAAAGUGUUAAGUGCAAACCUACCGUGUGGGCAGGGGUCAUGCAGUGCCUCCUGCAGUGCUUGCAGUGCCAAUGAUGCCUAGAAUUUACCUGGAAUAAAGAGGAAUGAUGUUACUACAACUCUCUGCACAGGAUAUCGAGUGGGUGACUGUGUUUAAGACAUUUGGGGCGUGAAGAAGCAAGAACACGGGCUUGAGAACACGUCCAAGAGGGGAAGAGAAUACAUCCAGGAGAGCACGAGACCACGCCCAGGAUGGUUCGAAAACACGUAUAGACCAGCUAGAGACUAUACUCACGAGGGUUCGACAUCGUGGCCACGGAGGCUCGAGACUACAAUUAGGAAGGUUGGGGACCACGUCAAAAAACGUUCGAGGCUUCUUCUAGGAUGGUUCGAAACCAAGACCAAAAGGUUCUAGACCAUGCUUAGAAAAGAUCGAGGCAGCGUCUAGAGUGGUUAGAGAUCACAUUGAAGGUGGUUUGAGACCACAGCAAAGAGGAAUUAAGACCAGGAGCAAAUGACUGAGAACUACUACUAAAACUCUGAACAUAUCUCUCCAUCUCCCCAACUACCCAUUCGUAUGUCUGCCCAUUCGUGUAUCUAUCCAUUUAUAUGUUGCCCAAUCUUUCUAUCAUUUCGUCUAUAUAUCUACCAAUCAUUUCUAUCCACCAAUUUAUUUCUGCAUCAAAUUCAUAAUCUAAAUAUCCAUUUUACACAAAUGAUAACUGGCAGCUUUGGUAAUAUGCGUGUCUGGUCUAAGUACCUGUGACACCCAUGUGACAGCAGUGGUAAUAUGUGUGUCUAGUCUAAACACCUGUCAUACCCUGAUGACAGGUGUGUUACUAAGUUAAUUUGGUCCAAACACCUGUAAUACACUUCUGGUACAAAGGAAAUGCAAUAAUAUGACAAGUUGUAUCAGUGUGAUUAACAGGUGUGUCGUCAAACCAAAGGCACACCAACUUAAUCUCUAAAUUACACACAUCUCACGUCCUCAACAGUUAAGACACACUCAACUCCCUGGAGUUAAUCAACAUUAAUGAUACCCAGAAACACACUCACUUCUUAACUAAUAUAACUGUUACCAGAUCCAAGAAUUGGGAAACUCAAUUAUUAAUACUGAGUUAGGAACAUGUAUGAAGCUCAGGGGAUGAACAGGUCCACUAAACAUACUCCAGAGGGACACACUCACACCUGCUCAUUCUACGCCUCCGUGAAAUGACUUGACGGCACCUGUCUAUUCCCCCCGGGCCUUUUAUUUGUUGUAAAAAAGUGAAACAAAAGAAUGAUGACAACCAAGACUUUUCACUUAUUUUUGGUCGUAGCUCAGCUGUUAAUACCCAACUGUGAUUUUAGACACAAAUGGAACUUUGAAUGAUGUGCAAAUAAACCAAAAUUAACUCUACACGAAAAUUGUCAGCACUGACCCAACAAUUAUGGUUUUUGACGUAUUUUGAGUCAGCUCAGUUGAUGACUGACGCUUCUGACUCUUUUAUUACAUCAACGUCACAAUUAUGUUUUUAUAAGGCAAGAUUAGAUGAAUCCCAGGAAAGAAUAAAAUAUUAUUGAAAUUCAUGCUGGGUAUUUAUUUACCUCCUUGUAGUAGGAUUAUCAAUAAUUUGUAUCGAAUUUUGGGUGAAAGUUUAAUUGAAAAUCCGUUCUCUUUAAUUUCUUACAAGUCGGGUUUCAACCAAAUCCAGUUCCAAUUCGAAAAGAGGCAUGAAGAUAAACAAAAAACAUAAGAUUAUUUUAUUUUCGUGUCAUAAGAGCGGUAAAUCAAGUGAUAUAAGCCUAAAUUUUCUUUGUAUAAUAAGUAACAUUCACCCAAUUCAUUAAGGAACCUUUAGUAAAAAUUAUUAUAUAAAGGUUCCUUUUAAUGGGAACAAUUAGCCAAUUUCAGUAUGGAUCUGUGGGUAACAGGUUAGUAUAUGCACAGCAUAAUUCUAUUAUUAAUAGGUAAAUCACCAAUUGAUUCGCAGACUAAAGGGGCACAAGUCAGCUGUCAGACUAAACUUCCCAUUUUCAUUUGUUAGGAAUAAGGGAAUUAACAGCCAUAUGCAGAAGCCAGUCAUAAGUUAACCUUCUCCAUCAGAUAGUUUAAUUAAGUACACGAGGUAGACAAGAAUCCUUCUGGUAUUGUAAGAGUAAUCAACCAGCUUCUUAUAUAGAGGCCAUUCAAAGCUAUAUUACUUUUUUGUAACAGUAAUCGGUCGAUUUCGAAAGUUGAAGUUAAUUAUCAGUCUAUAGCGCUCUAUUGUAGCAGUAAUAAGUCAAAGCCAUUGUCAUCGGAAAAGUCAAUAGUAAGUUCAAAGAGCUAAUGAAGUAAACACUUUAUGUGUGGAAGUCAUUACUACUUUAUUUUGUACAUUGUAUGUGACUAAUGGUCGUAAUUAAGGUGAACAAAACUUCUAACACCAAGAAUUCUCAAUAAUUCGUUCUUCUUCUUUCACCCACCUUGAUACAGUAAACAGAAAGGCACUAAAUUAAUACCAGAAUUUCACAGUAUUUCACGACAAAAAGCACCUUUUAGGUACUGUGUUUUUAGCAGGUGUUCGCAUCACCAGCAACAAGGAAAAUAUUAACGUAAGAAUCUCUUGGAAAUCCUUAACAUGUGAAUCUUUUAGAAUAUUUACCAAACGACUGUUAGAGAAUCCAGGCCCUAAAUAACAAGUUAACCAAUUGAAGAAAAUAUUUAUCUGACCUUUAUUUGGGUUAGUUAAUUACCUUUUUAAACAGACAGUUUAAACGUGGUGUUAGAAAUAUUCUUAUAGUUAUGAUAGCUCACCGUAGCCACCUAUAAUGGCAAUACAAACUGUAUAUCCAGCACACUGACGCCACUACACUACAGAUAGAAGCGGUGGCUGGCUCACAGUUGGAGGAUUUUCUUUUGCCAUAAGGAAGUUUCUCGUAUAGUUAGCAAUAUUAGCUCAGUGCUCAAACAUUCUCUUAUUACUGGCCACUAUCAUUAAACGAGAUUCUCUGUGACAUUAAGGAAAUAUAACUUAGAGGUAAUUGAUACACUUAAUAAUGUAAUUGUUGAGACAAGAGGACGAAAAAUACAGAGAGCAAUGAAUCCUUAGUCUGGAAAUAUAAUGCCAUUAAGGAUUAUUGUCACACUGGGAUGGUCUACUGUUGAGCCAUCUAGCUCUUGGAGUAGUUAACUUUACUGUGAUGUACUUUGUGUUCUUAUCUUGGAGAAAAUUAUGAAGCAAGAUGUUCCAUGACAACGUGUAAAUGGCUACAAGUGGCAGGUUUCUGAUAUAUUCCUAUCAUGUCUAGGUUGAGACACCACCUGUAUAUUAUACCUAAGCUUGUACCUGUACUAAUGUUUCUGAAUAAAGUCUAUUUAUCUGUU